ACAACAGCAGAUAUCCGAUGAACAUAACAAUGGCACUAAUUCAGAAAUUUAAAACUAGUAACAUGUCAGAUGUGAAGGCAUAUCAUCCAGAAUUACAGUACAACUUACCUCAUAUAAAUCAAGACAAUACCAGAAUGAAAAACCUAUCAAAACAACUUGGCAUGCAACAUUACAGAGAUGACAAAACCCAAUUUGACGAUACUCAAUUACACAUAUUCCUAUUAUAGUCGUUUGCCAUCUGAAUACUAGGAACUAUUUCUCACACUUUCGGUCAACUAGGUAAGAGUACCUCUACCGACAUCAUGAACUCCAAGGACAAAAACUUUGCCAUUGAUGUGUUGUCUAUUAAAAUCUGCAUAAUAGCAGCAAAUUGGAUGAUAUACCAUUCACUGAUGCCAAUUCCCACAAACAACACUCAAUAUUUUCAUUAUAAUUUAACCUGUAUUACUGAACCUAAAUUCAUUUGCCAGAUCAUCCCCAACGUUCUGCUGUUGUUGUACACGUACUGUUGGCAACUAGCAUUGCUUGAGGCUGCAGGUUUGGAAGAAAAUCAUUUGGUUGGAGUUGUUGGCAACCUAGAAUAAGGACAAGGUUGAUUGCAGGGAGUGUUUCCAGAAUCUGAAUGCUCCUUUCCUUUUGUUGGAGUAGUUUUCUUUAAAACCUCCUCCACUAUCAAUGAAUCAGUUUUUUCAGAUUUGAAAAUCUGAAUCUCCCUUUUGUUUUGUUGAAAUUGGCUUCGAAAGCUCGUGCUCCUGCUCCACUUUCAUUUGAUCAAAUUCUCAACAUGAAUGCUCCUUUCUUUUCAUUCUAUUAAGCGCAAGGUUCAUUCUCAACGUGAAUAUGAAGUGGCCACUAUAAGCAUGAGCAUUUUCAUAAUCCUUGUGACACUCCAGGCAACGAUAGAUUUCAGGUAGCAAUGGUUUGUUGCCUGUUUUGGGAGAAGUGACGAUUUGCUCAGCACAUAUCAAGCAUUGUUCUUCUCCCAAUUUGCCUUCCAUGUCGAAUUACUCAAAAACCCUGGUUCAAAUAGACAAAAAAACUGUAGAUAAUAAAUGAUAAUUAAUUUUAAAAUAUGUUUAAAUGGAAUGGGAAUCUUAUAAAGAUCUCCCUAUGUAUGUCAUUGCAAUCAAAUUAGAUAUUUAGUACAUUAUCAGUUUCACUUUCAAUUAUAAGACUACCCUUACUUUAAAUCUUGAUAAUUAUUACUACUCGGUUUAUUCUAACAAAUUUCCAUGCAUUUUCAGGACCCACUUCCAUAUCAGUCAAAUUAAUAUUUGAUAAAUAGAAAGGUAAUACUUGGUUGAUAUUAGAUAUAUUUGAUAUUUUCAGGACCCACUUCCCUGUGUAUGUCAUUGCAAUCAAAUUAAAUUGUCUUUAAGAAAAAUAAAAAUCUUAAAUUCCUACCAAACAAUCAAGUAAACAAAAAACAAUCAAGCAUUGUUUUAGAAAUCCCACAUUCCUACCAAACAAUCAAGUAAACAAAAACUGACUAAUAUAAACCACUAGAUUAUCAAGGAAUGAUAAUUACAUACUGUACUCCCCAUGCUUAAUCGAAAUGAAACGUAUUAAUUAUCUGAUUGAAGUAGAAGAUAUGUUUACUGUAAUAUUUGAUUCUCAAGUAAGAGAGCCAUUAAGGCUUAAAUGCCCAAAAGAAAAUUAGCAGAAAAGAAGCAUGAACUCAUCGGUGUCAAUGUACUCAUUGAAUCUUUGCAAUGUAAAUCACAUCGCCAACCUAAUUAAGCUCGUAUGCCAUAUAGUCGACCUUUUCAUUUAGCAACUAUUAAAAUAAACACAUGGUCGCACAAGAAAAAACAUAAAACGAAUUCUCCUAAUUAACAUUUUAGGGCAUGUAUGCACCAAUUAUAUGUUUACAUACAAUUGAUACUUCUCUAGCUCUACCUUUUGUAUGAUUCAGAUGGUAAAGAAUAUUAGAUUGCCUGUAAGACUGUCUAAAGCUCUGAAUACAAUAGUGCUCUAGAAAGAGACAUCUUGAAUAAGUGGGGAAUUAGUCCAAGAGUUGGCAAUGAUUGAGUGGUGAAAGAAUGCUCAUGGGUUCCUCCUAGUGAGUUGAUUGUGAAAGCAAAUACAGAUGGCGCUGUUACACAGACUACUGCAGGGCUUGGAGUAGUUUUCAGAAAUCAUAAAAGUGAGUUUGAGUUGGUUGGUUGUCAAAACAUUGGUGCAGUUGACAGUUUCAUGCUGAAUGCUCUGCAAUGGUUACAGCUUUGGAAGUGACCAUUGACAAGGGAUGGCUAAAUCUGUAGAUACUGACUCUAAGGGUGAUCUAAAGGCCAUAAACCUGAACCCCCCUUGGGAGCUGAAGAAUAGAUGGUACAGAAGUCUGAAGAAAGUCUAUACCUUAGUGGUUACUAGUAUCUGGAGGGAAGCAAAUAUAGCUGCUGAGCUUCUAAACAUGCUCCGAGAAGGGAUUCCCAACUCCUUGAUCUGACUAUAGGCAGGCCCUUAUGGUUGGACAAAUGGGAAAUGCUUGACACUGUAUUACGGAUUUAAGUAGUCAUUUGAUGAUUACUUUUACCACCCACCAUACCCCUUGUACUUCUCUAACUUAUUUUCAUCUUUAGGUUAUUCAUGGAAGCACUGUCUGGUUUAUGUUUCAGGACAAUCAAAAUGUUCAUAAGCAUGUAUCCUGCCUUUGCUGGGUAGUUUACAUAUACCCAAACACACAAAGUUGAUACAAUUUGAUUCAGGAGGAAUAUGAAAUAGAUAGCCUAGCCCUGAAAAACCCAGCUGCAGCGAUGAAUAGGGUUGUACUUAAUUGUACAAUAACAACUUAAGUAUGUAUUAGAUUGUGUUUUAAUCUACAAGCAAGUUAAUUUUAAGCUAAAAGCAAGAAAAUAGGUUUCGGAAAGAAAAAGGUUAGUUCUCGAAAUAACCAAAAUGUAAUUCCCGGCUUUCAUCAAGUUUGUUGUAUUGGUAAAGAGUUUUAUGAAUUUAACUUGGUAUACGACAGUAGUGUAACCCUCACUCAAGGUAUAGUACGACUGUUCGUUAGACCCUGACUUCAUCCAACAUAGUUGAUUCCAGAUUGCAUUGUGGCUUUAAGCCUUCAACUACAACAGCAACUACCUAGCCUCACUCAUAUACAUCUUAGUCUAUGAAAUACGAAUAUCCAUCAUUUAUCAGCAGAUUUCUGUGCUUUCAACAGAGGGAGUGAAAAAAAGGAAAUAAGAACAAAAAACAAAGAGAACCAAGGUAAAUAUACAUACCUAUUUGCAGUGGACACGACGAAAUGUGGAUGGGAUCAGACCAGUGACCUUACGGUUGCAUCGUUGCUCAUGAACUGAAUCAAGUCUGUACUUGUUUAAAAUCGUCUGCAAUGCAAGUGGAAUCAAUGUGAACAUCUACUUUCAAACAUUCCCAAAAUGUCGUAUUUUCAGAACCAUUAAAUACAUUCAAACUAUUUCAUUCUCAUGAGAAGAAGAAUGCUUCAUAAGCUCUCAUGUGAUUACUAGUGUAAUAUGGACACUUGAUACAAUAUGAAAACAUAGAAACGGAGUACCAUAACAGAGUGCCAAAAUGAAGAAUCUCAACCCAUUGCCUUCUUGUUGUCCCUUCACCUCCUCUUCAAAGGGUAGAUGUUAUCCUUUCAGUACCUUUGGGUUGUAGAUAGAACUUGUUCGGACUCACAAGACGAUAUGCUAGAUAGUUUCAUGAUGAGCCAGGUCUACAUAUUUUUUUAUUUAUGUAUUAUUCUUGCAAUUUGGUUGGAACAGGAGAAAAUUAAGGAAUAAUUUAAACUUCGCUAUGUAAGCAUACACUUGAGGCAGUGCUAAAGAUAAAAAAAAGGGGUCAAAUCGAGUAUAAUCCAAGCUCUUAACCUGCGAGUGUCUUUCAAAAUGAAAUCUCAUGUGGCAAUCCUUCUAAAUGAAAAUAUUCGGAGAGAAAAAAACCUGUAAUAGCACUGCCAUUAAUGCAAGGAAAAUUGAGGCCAAUCCUUCUAACCAUUUUAUGGACUCACAGCAAUUAAAGAAGGCAAGCUUGCAAGUAAUAGUUGAUCCGACUUUAGGCUUGGUUUCCAGAGGUCCUAUAUUCAAUUUUUCAUGGACUAGCAUGACAGUCGGUCACUAAGCUAAUUAAACAUAAAAUUUUGUGUGACAUUAACCAUAUGAAAUUUAAGAACGGAAAUGUAUUAAAAUGAUUAAUACCUGUACGCAGCAAGCCAAAUGGAUGGAGAUGCAAUUGCAGAUUCCCAUGAUCCAUACCAAUAAGGAAAUGCACAAGACAAUGACCUGAAUUGAUCACCAGAAGCACUUAUGUAGUAAUGGUCCUGACAAAUCAAGUCUUUCUUAUUAGAUGUGGGACUAUCGUAACUUGAUGACGUAAUAUUAUUGUUAUAUAAUACAGUUAUAGAAAGAAAAAAUUACCUUUCAAUCAAUGUGGGAUAAAUGAGUUUUCUCACUGCCAAUAUUUUUGUGAAAAACAAUACCAAGAAAGACCAACCAAAUCUCUCAAUAUGAAUCAGACAUUCGUACUUUAAGAUUUCGUAAAAAAAGUAGGAAGAAGAUGUGCUUUUGGUUUGUUUUAUGUUAUCCUCAUGUAGUGUAGUGCAGCAAUCAAUAAUAUGUAUACUGAGUGUAAGAAAUUGCUGAUUAAUCUGAAUAGGAACAACUUCACGAAGCGCAGCCACCACAGACGCUAUACAACAUAUUGGUUGCGGGUCACUAGUGGUGAUUUUGUCUUUGCUUCAUCAUGCUCCCUUCUUGUCCUUGAGUUUAGUAAUUUUCUUAAGCCUUGGGAGUUCUUUCUAUCGAAAAAAUGGCAGAUUAAUAUUGUUGGUUUGACAAUGGAUCAAGAUUCAAGAAUACGAAGAGACAACAGCAGAUAUCCAAUGAACAUAAUAAUGACACUAAUUCAGAAAUUUGAAACUAGUAACAUGUCAGAUGUGAAGACAUAUCAUCCAGAAUUACAGUACAACUUACCUUGGUAUACACAAGCAUAUGCAAUUGGUUUGCUAUGUUUUCUUCUCAUUUCAAUCAAGACAAUACCAGAAUGAAAAACCUAUCAAGACAACGUGGCAUACAACAUUACAGAGAUGACAAAACCCAAUUUCACAAUACUCAAUUACUCAAUCUAACCAGAUGCCCCAAGAUGAAUCAUGUAGCAUUCUCCGAUCAAACCCACAACACUCAAUCUUUUCAGAAAGUCUUCCACCUAACUACAAUACUGCUAAAGAAUUGUUGAACUUCUCCCACGCUUUCUGCCCUCAAAGAGUCAUUUGUUAUGUUCCUUACCAGAUAUACCACAUAUCGGCAAAAUAACGAAGUACCAUAAUUUACCUCUCUCAGAAAUAAAUAGAAAUGAUGGNN
rnacentral:lncRNA from 1 species